GACGAACGCUGGCGGCGUGCUUAACACAUGCAAGUCGAACGGAAAGGCCCUGCUUUUGUGGGGUGCUCGAGUGGCGAACGGGUGAGUAACACGUGAGUAACCUGCCCUUGACUUUCGGAUAACUUCAGGAAACUGGGGCUAAUCUCGGAUCGGAGCUCCCGCUGCAUGGUGGGGGUUGGAAAGUUUUGGCGGUUGGGGCUGGACUCGCGGCUGAUCAGUUUGUUGGUGGGGUAGUGGCCUACCCAGGCUUUGACGGGUAGCCGGCCUGGGAAGGUGAACAGGGUCAUUGGGACUGAGAGAGGGCCAAGGGUCGUACGGGAGGCAACAGUGGGGAGUCUGGCACAAUGGGCGAGAGCGUGAUGCAGAGGCGCCGGGUGCGGGAAGACGGCCUUCGGGUUGUGAACCGCUUUCGGCUGAGACGAAGCGUGAGUGACGGUAAUGAGUAAAGAAGCACCGGCUAACUACGUG
rnacentral:rRNA from 1 species